rnacentral:rRNA from 1 species
UACGUAGGGUGCAAGCGUUGUCCGGAAUUAUUGGGCGUAAAGAGCGUGUAGGCGGCCUGGAAGGUCAGCUGUGAAAACUCGAGGCUCAACCUCGAGACGUCGGUUGAAACCACCUGGCUAGAGUCCGGAAGAGGAGAGUGGAAUUCCCGGUGUAGCGGUGAAAUGCGCAGAUAUCGGGAAGAACACCCGUGGCGAAGGCGGCUCUCUGGGCAGUAACUGACGCUGAGGAGCGAAAGCGUGGGGAGCGAACAGG